rnacentral:rRNA from 1 species
UACAGAGGGUGCAAGCGUUGUUCGGAAUUAUUGGGCGUAAAGGGCGCGUAGGCGGUGCGGUAAGUCUGUAGUGAAAUCUCUGGGCUCAACUCAGAGUCUGCUAUAGAAACUGCCGUGCUUGAGUGUGGGAGAGGUGAGUGGAAUUCCCGGUGUAGCGGUGAAAUGCGUAGAUAUCGGGAGGAGCACCUGUGGCGAAAGCGGCUCACUGGACCACAACUGACGCUGAGGCGCGAAAGCUAGGGGAGCAAACAGGAUUA